rnacentral:lncRNA from 11 species
CUAGGUUUCCCUUUUAAUAGGUUACUCACAUUAACUGGUUUCCUUUACUGACUGGCCCUGAGGAUGAGAAUAAGAAGCUAAGUGUGUACAGGAUAAGGGAGAAGACUAUGUUGCCAGAACUGGGGAGUGGAGGAGAAAGAAAAAGAAAACAAAGAGAGAGAGAGAAGAGAAAGUAAAAAAUAUUUAGAGUUUCAGGUAGGAAAAGGGAGAGGAAAACAAUCUGGGUUGUGAAAAAGGCAUUUAGCCAGGAGUUGGGGAGGAGAAGAAACCAAGGAACGAGGAACUAAAGAGUCAGAGGUGGACCAUGGCUCAAGCAAAGAAGGGGCACCUCAUCCUGAAACAGUGGGCUGUUGUCUUCUCUCCACUUUGACAAAGAGUCUUGGUCUUUCCCUUUACCCAAUGCAUCACCCAAUUUUAAAAUUCCAGUUGUUACAACUGCAUCCAAGGAAAUAUGAAAAUUAAGAUAAAACUAAGAGAUUGUAACCCUCUCAGAAGUGGACCAUUAAACGGACUGAUACUUCAAAUGCUCCAAUGACAGUUUAUUGAAUUUCCCACCACCACAAAGAGCCAACCAUCAAUGACAUCUGAUGAAGUCCAAAGUCAACAAGACAUGAUCCUAGCCAGACAGUUUUUCAGUCCAUCAGGGGUGGUUUCUUGAAUAGCUGUCAAAUGAAAUAAAAAUACUUUGUAUUUGCAGUUGCGGUAUGUCAGUACUUUGGAAUGCUUUCUUCACUGACAUCCUCUCUGGCCAGUGAGAAUAAACCUCUGAUUUUACCUUCUACCUGUCUGAGUCUGAUUUGGCCUUCUGCAAAGCUAAAAAUGCU